rnacentral:tRNA from 1 species
CACUAAGAAGCUACGCACAGCACUAGCCUUUUAAGCUAAUGAGGAAGAUUCACCUUCCUUAGUGA